CCCUUAGAUGUUCUGGGCCGCACGCGUGCUACACUGAGUGGAUCAGCGGGUCAGGUUGCGCGAAAGCGUUUCCUAAUCUUUAAAUCCGCUCGUGAUGGGGAUUGACGGUUGCAAUUUUCUGUCAUGAACGAGGAAUACCUUGUAAGCGCGGGUCAUCAUCCCGCGCUGAAUACGUCCCUGCCCUUUGUACACACCGCCCGUCGCACCUACCGAUUGGAUGGUCCGGUGAAGCCUCGGGAUUGUGGUUCUUGACGCUUUAUUGUGGCGUGACCGCGAGAACUUGUCUAAACCUUAUCAUCUAGAGGAAGGUGAAGUCGUAACA
rnacentral:rRNA from 1 species